AAGUAUUUAGUCUAAAAAGACUAUUGAUUUCGACUCAAUAAAUUCUGGUAAACCAGAAAUACUUU
rnacentral:tRNA from 1 species